rnacentral:rRNA from 1 species
AUUGAACGCUGGCGGCAGGCUUAACACAUGCAAGUCGAGCGAGCGGCGGACGGGUGAGUAAGGUCUGGGAAACUGCCUGAUGGAGGGGGAUCCGUAAUGGAAACGGUAGCUAAUAACGCAUACCAUCAGAUGUGCCCAGAUGGGAUUAGCUAGUUGGUGGGGUAAUGGCUCACCAGGGCGACGAGCCCUAGCUGGUCUGAGAGGAUGACCAGCCACACUGGAACUGAGACACGGUCCAGACUCCUACGUGAGGCAGCAGUGGGGAAUAUUGCACAAUGGGCGAAAGCCGGAUGCAGCCAUGCCGCGUGUGUGAAGAAGGCCUUCGGGUUGUAAAGCACUUUAAGCGGGGAGGCGUUACCCGCAGAAGAAGCACCGGCUAACUCCGUGCCAGCAGCCGCGGUAAUUC